rnacentral:rRNA from 1 species
UACGUAGGGGGCAAGCGUUGUCCGGAAUCAUUGGGCGUAAAGCGCGUGUAGGCGGCUCGGUAAGUCCGCUCUGAAAGUCCGGGGCUCAACCCCGGGAGGCGGGUGGAUACUGUCGAGCUAGAGUCCGGAAGAGGCGAGUGGAAUUCCUGGUGUAGCGGUGAAAUGCGCAGAUAUCAGGAGGAACACCAAUGGCGAAGGCAGCUCGCUGGGACGGUACUGACGCUGAGACGCGAAAGCGUGGGGGAGCAAACAGG